AGUGAACGCUGGCGGUAGGCCUAACACAUGCAAGUCGAACGGCAGCACAGUAAGAGCUUGCUCUUACGGGUGGCGAGUGGCGGACGGGUGAGGAAUACAUCGGAAUCUACUUUUUCGUGGGGGAUAACGUAGGGAAACUUACGCUAAUACCGCAUACGACCUACGGGUGAAAGCAUGGGAUCUUCGGACCUUGCGCGAUUGAAUGAGCCGAUGUCGGAUUAGCUAGUUGGCGGGGUAAAGGCCCACCAAGGCGACGAUCCGUAGCUGGUCUGAGAGGAUGAUCAGCCACACUGGAACUGAGACACGGUCCAGACUCCUACGGGAGGCAGCAGUGGGGAAUAUUGGACAAUGGGCGCAAGCCUGAUCCAGCCAUACCGCGUGGGUGAAGAAGGCCUUCGGGUUGUAAAGCCCUUUUGUUGGGAAAGAAAAGCAGCAGGUUAAUACCCCGCUGUUCUGACGGUACCCAAAGAAUAAGCACCGGCUAACUUCGUG
rnacentral:rRNA from 1 species